UACGGAGGGUGCAAGCGUUAUCCGGAUUCACUGGGUUUAAAGGGUGCGUAGGUGGGUCUGUAAGUCAGUGGUGAAAUCUCCGAGCUUAACUCGGAAACUGCCAUUGAUACUAUAGGUCUUGAAUUAUCUGGAGGUAAGCGGAAUAUGUCAUGUAGCGGUGAAAUGCUUAGAUAUGACAUAGAACACCAAUUGCGAAGGCAGCUUACUACGGAUCGAUUGACACUGAGGCACGAAAGCGUGGGGAUCAAACAGG
rnacentral:rRNA from 1 species